GACGAACGCUGGCGGCGUGCUUAACACAUGCAAGUCGAACGGACAGGCCCUGCUUUUGUGGGGUGCUCGAGUGGCGAACGGGUGAGUAACACGUGAGUAACCUGCCCUUGACUUUGGGAUAACUUCAGGAAACUGGGGCUAAUACCGGAUAGGAGCUCCUGCUGCAUGGUGGGGGUUGGAAAGUUUCGGCGGUUGGGGAUGGACUCGCGGCUUAUCAGCUUGUUGGUGGGGUAGUGGCUUACCAAGGCUUUGACGGGUAGCCGGCCUGAGAGGGUGACCGGCCACAAUGGGACUGAGAUACGGCCCAGACUCCUACGGGAGGCAGCAGUGGGGAAUAUUGCACAAUGGGCGGAAGCCUGAUGCAGCAACGCCGCGUGCGGGAUAACGGCCUUCGGGUUGUAAACCGAUUUCGCCUGUGACUAAGCGUGAGUGACGGUAAUGGGUAAAGAAGCAACGGCUAACUACGUG
rnacentral:rRNA from 1 species